rnacentral:lncRNA from 1 species
GGAGAAGCAGGGCGGUGGGGAAAAGGGUGAGGAUUUUUUACUCCGCCAUUGAGCGGUGCAGUAAAUAUAGCCGCCGGAUACAUGGUGAAGGAAAAAAUAUCCUUCUUUAUGGGUUUUAGGGUUCGGUUAGAUCCCGGUUAGAGAGGGGAUCAGCUAGAAUUGGCCUUACCAGCAGACCCCGUUCACCAUCAAAGAAUGAAGCAUGUGUAGCACGAUAUUCAUUUCGUCCGUGACAAAGUUUGCGCUUGGCAAUCUUCUGUCUUACACGUUCCAACAGCCAACAAUUCACUGAUGAUAACCAAAUACCCAUGCGCAAUCUUCGUCCGCCAUAGAGCGGCACAGCAGCGUCUGAGUUAUUUUGUCGCCACAGCACUUCGUCCGCCAUAGAAUUGGCGCGACUUGUCUCCAUCCAUUACGAGAGUUGUUCCCACAAAAUCAUCAUGAAGCAAUACCCAACAAACAUAACAAAAGAUUUACUGCUGGAUUUUCGGAAACUCGCUCCUGAAUCAAAACUAAUAAUCUUAAGUGACUGUGGCAAGUACAUAGCUCCAUUCGUGCAUCGUACAGCUCAUGAUAACUGAUGAGUAAAAACCUUACUCUACCAACAAAAACCGUCGCCUUGAUCCGCAUGGUUUGCGAGAAACGGGUCCCCUUUUCUACAGGUGCUGCAAAAAAAAAAGAGAUGGGCUAGGCUCCCUUGGCUGAAAU